rnacentral:lncRNA from 1 species
UAAGGGCUGACUGCCACUGUGGAAGGAUCUCUGGUUGGAGAUUACUUUCUCGUGGAGGUUUCCUUGUGAGCCUAGACCUUCAAAGACAGUAAUGAAGGUGUUGAUUCAAGUUACUACUGAAGAGUGGUAGAAAAUUGGCCCAGCUGUAGGAGAUGAAGAAUCAGGAACAGACACUGAGGUAAGAAGCCUAUCCUGCAGUACCAGUCAGCCUCCAAGCUGACAACACCCAAGUAGCCUGCUGUCAAAACCUUCACUUCCUACUUGACAGUCUCUGAUGUUUUUAUGUGGCUGUUGGUAUAAAAUACUGCAUCAUGCUGCAUGUUAAGAAUGGGGAGUAAAUAAAAUAGACAUUGCUAUGAGGUAAAGUAACAAAAAGACUAUUACUAAAUAGUGUGAGAAAUUCUAUAUGACCCACAACAUUUUCAUAUUUAAUUCAAUAAAGUAAUCAAUUAUUCAAUAGAUGAAGCUGCCACAACUUUUCCACUCUAGUGCACUGGCAUAUCACAAAGUCAAGUGCUCUACUGGAAAUGAGCAGGACCACAUAGUUAUUUAAAUACAUAUGUCAUACACUCACCUUAUUUAGUUAGAUCUGUGCAAUUAAUAGGUCAAACAUAUUUUGAGCCAAAUGCGAUAAUCUUAGUUACACUGAAUGCUUGCUUUACAACACAUGCAUUUCUACUGAAUUCAUUGAGGAUGUAAAUGAACAGAAAAUUUGUUAAAGGUUGUCAUUGGACCAUGACUGUUGCUUGUGCCAAGUCAUGUUAAGGGCAUGGUUGCCUUCUCCAGCCACCCUGGCACAGGCCUCCCUCCAGCCCAGCUGCUGGAGCAUGAUGUCUCUGCCCAGACUGAGAGAUAUGGCUGCCGCCUUCCCGUUUGUGGAUUCAGACAGCAGCGAAGCUGAGCACAUAGUCCAGAGACACAGUGACACAGCCAGAUGUUCAGAGUGCUGUGGAAAAGCACCUAUGUAUAGCACUCAUGUAAAACAUUAACACAGGCAGGCAAGUCUUCCUCCUUUUCAGCUGGCACAGGCAAUCAGUCACUACUUGGAGGCACGCACUGCUCUCUGUAUUCACAAGCACGUGUGUGCAUGGAUCCCUCAAGCAACAGCAUUUCUGCCAUUUUCAGUUGCACGUCAGGUCAAAUGGCAGCAUUGUGUUCAUGCAUCAUUUGUGUCAUGGCACAGAAUCAUAUCAUGGGGAAGAGCAACAGCAAAACACUGCAGAAGGAGAGGUUACAGUGAGGACUGUUUGAACGCAGGCCGUGCUUGGUUCAGCUACACCUUUUCUCCCUCCCAAGGACUUGCUGCCAGAUGGUUGGAGCUGGCAGGUCGUAGAGAGGGAGAGGUGCUGCAGUGCUUUGCAGCUAAUGAAUUACCAACAUAUGCAGCAGGAAGAGUGAGUUGGGGCCAAAAAUCAUAUCCUGAAUAAUUCAUAGGACUUGGCAUAUUUGUUGUGAGAAAAAUAAUUGAUUACAACAUAUACAUUUGUUUAAACUGUGUUGUUUUUCUUUACCUUUUGUGUGUAAAACAGAAAAAAAAAUGAGAAUAUAGUCUCCAAAACUUUUAAGAUUUCCUCCCCCUUUUCAAUUUUGUUUCCCCAAUGUUUAAUUAUGGUUUUGCUGGCAGUAAGUAAAAUUGGCACCCAGUUGUAAUUACUCUGUGUGGUCAUGAUUCCAAGAUGUAUAGAAGUUUAUUUGUGUGUUUGUUCAAAUUGCCAUUCUGGAAAUUAUCUUAAAAUAUAUUCUAUC